rnacentral:lncRNA from 1 species
CUACCGUCAGGCUGGGAAAUGGCCAAAACGAGUUCCGGACAGAGAUACUUCCUCAAGUAAGUACUGUAUAUCAAACUUAAGUCGAGCGCCAACCCGAUAUCAAUCGACGUCGUCCAAACGCGGAUCGUUUACUUCCUCCAACUGCGUCAGUGCGCGACUGGGUGUCCAACUAAAACAUGUCAAAAGCUAAACGGCAGCUUAAGUUACCAGUUUUGGAAUAAUAAUAUCAACACUUAUCUGCGAACUAUUUAACACUAAGAACGAGAAAAGAUUUAGGUUUCAGAAAUUUGAAUAGGCCUACAGAUGGCCGAUGCAAGAAAGUUUUACGGUUAUACACCGUAGCAGUUUAUAACUUUUUAUUUUCGAUUGUUGAACAUCUUUCACCAACUUCGUAGCCGAGUGUUUCACUUAUUUUUAAAGAUUUUGUUGUUUGAAUCUUAGCGAUUUUACUGGUAAAGUUUUUAAGUUGAUUUUGAAGCCAGUUCAGUGGUAGCAACUGUAACUUUCUAGCUAAUAACUUUUUAAAUACAGUAAUUAUUUUUUUUAGUCUUGUGUUUGUAUAGCAUUUCAAGGUUCAUGUUUGAAAACAAGUGAGAGAUAAUAUCUGAUAUUUUGUCUUAAUAUGCCAACACAUCUGUAAUUCGGUUGUGUUUAAUUAAAAUCAAACUCCUUUUUAAAAAUGAUUAAACAUUAUAUUUUCACACCGGUUUCUUGUUGAAAAGUUCCGAUUAUCAUAUUGCCGAUAUAAAAUUAGGAUGAGAUAGGAUAUUAAUGAGUAUAUAGUAUAGAAUAUCAGAAUCUCUUCGUUCAUCAGUAGAUCCGAUAUGGCCGGGUAUUAGUGAUAAUUUACAACUUAUCUGCAGUUCUGUAAUACAAUUACGACAAAGGGAUAUAAUAUUUUUAUCAGUAAAGGAUAUUAACUCUUGAUUAAAAAAAAAAGAUUGUCUUGUACUGUAUACAAUAUUUUAAAUAUUGUAAGGCCUAUAACAUAUGUAUCCUGGUUUAUAAUUUUUAAACGUCAUCUAAGGUUUUUAGAUUCAAGGAAAUGAUAAUAUAUAGGCCUAUCUAAAUUCAGUAUGUUUUAUUAGUGGAUUUGUUUCACAAUUAUUCUUCGUCCGACGUCAUCCCGGUAAUAGUCUUUUAUUUCGAAGCCCAGCAGGGAUGUACACCUGUUUGGAGUAUGACUAGAGUAGUAAAGCAUGGUCCGAACCAUUAAAGAAUGAGUCAAAUGUAGAAAAAAGGUUGCUAACGUCAUCCAUCGGAAACACUGGCAAAACGUUUCCAAUAGUUAUAUCGGUACCUUUUCAGCGCAGAAAAAUAUACAGUACUGUAUUCUAGAUUAUUAUUAUUAUUAUUUGAAUCCCGGAGUCGGUAUAAGAAGUGUGCAAAAUGCCCCUGGCACUGGUUAGUGAUAAGUAGAUUUUGUCAACACUAGGCGAGUUUAUUUUUUAUCAUUUCGCUUUUUUAACUAUACUCCGGUCAUUAUUCGGCAGAAAAGUCGGGACCGAAUUUCCUUUUCGUCCCGUAUAUAUUUUUGUAACGCGUCCGAAAAUACUGGUCUCACCCUGAGGUAAAUCACCGUCCGUUUGGUUCCUUUUUCUUUUUCUCUGCAUCCAUCUAUUUUUAAGGCUGUAGCGCACGUGCACGGCUUUUGGCAAACCGUCCGGCCUGUCCCCGGGCAAACAAUACUACCGAAACUGUUAAUAAAUCUCAUUGGACGGGUUCUCUUCGCAGGUACACAACAGUUACGUGACCGAAGCGAAAGUUUAUAAAACAACACCUGCUUGCCCACCGCUUGCUUCCCCCAAGCAUUCAGGCGCUACCUUCGACCUUUCGGUCCCCGCGGCUUCCAUUGACCUCCUUCCUUUGUCUGGCUCGUUAUCCUCCGCCCUAACUCCGGCUCCCAGACCUUUCAAGGACUCCGGACCGUCGCAUUACCCAGCACUGGUGGGGUGAGGUCGGAGGGGCAACCGGCUCGUCGCCUUUUUACUCGUACGGUCGGUCGGCUUUCUGUUUAUUGCAAUCGUCAGUUUUACGAUCGAAAUCGGAGUCGAGUCUCUGCGUCUUUACCCAAAGGCGCCGAGGAUCAGGGAUCAGAUUCCGGACCCACAUUGUUUCGUCGUCUUCUGGCGGGCCGCUACCUACCGCGGCCUUGCCACCUGCCGAUUGGGUACCCGAACCGACGACCUAGUGUAUUUAUAGCUCUGAAUGAUUUGCCCCAUAUUUUUUUAAAAAGCUAUGUUCCGGGAAAACGGCGCCGAUAUUUAGGAAAGCCGAACCGGAAUUUUAUUUUUUGGCACUGGUUGGAUGAAAGAAUAUAGUUACGAUACGCGGGACUAUUCCGUAUUUUUCCUUGGUGCGUCGAGUCACAGUUGUGGCGUGGGCCCUUCACGGGUUCCCUCGGGUGUUAGAAUAGUCGUGACGUCACCGAUUCGUGACUAAACUCGUAUUCACGCAUCACCACGUGUUCGAACUUCGGGAACCGGUCGCCCCGCCGAGUAAUUACCCAUCUUCCUUCUAUACGCUUCUGCUGGCCGGAAUGAUCUUCUGGGUGUAUUCCUACGGGUUUUGGUACAGUGGUGUAGGCUUGACCGUAAUAUCUUAUCAUUUCCCCUUCCCUCGUUAUUAGAACUCGUUAUAUGGUCGGAUGGGUCGUGGUUCAAAUGGAGUUCUUUCUAGUCCCAAUCGGCACUUUGGUUAGGAUGUUUAGGUAAAAGUGGCCGACUCCUUCGUGUUAAAUUUAGCUCUCUAGUCGACUUCGUUCUAGCAUUCGGUGUCGUACUUGGUGACACAUCCAUUGUACAUUAGGCGAAACGACAGACAUUGGCAACCUACAAGGCCGACUGGCGCCUUCUCGCUCGCUAUCGCUCUAUAUAUAAACGGUCCUCAUUACAUCAGUCUGUACCGAUUCACCUAGUACACGUGCAAACUUUUUGUUCCAUGCCGAGAACUCGUUUUUGGUCGGGAAAUCCCCUGCUUUCACCCGGUCGGGGAGUCUUCCAUUGUGUGUAUGUGCUAUUCCUUCAAGGUUACCGCUGGCGGACGCCAUUAUCGACUUACUGUGUGGUCCCCGGAUCUAGCGUUUCUGAGAAAGAUCCCUCUCCUUCGAAUUUCUUAGCUUUCAAAUGUGACAGAACAGUUCGAUUGACGUCCUGCCACCUUUGUUUCCUUCCCCGACGGUCCGAGACGUGGGAAGUUGUAAAAUGUAUAAACAUGCUUUACGAUCGCUAUCCAAAAUUUUACUUCGGUUAUUUGCGGUAGGUAGAUGGCCAAGAUGAUGUGACCCUGGAUAUAUUUUAGGCGGAAUGGGUCCUUCCCGUGUUAAUGAAGUAUCCGCGCUUCGGCCCCGUUUUAUUUUUAGUUCUACGACUGUUUGUUGGUUACGGCUAUAUAUAGACGCAUGGAUCGUCUCUUUACUCCGUCGUUGCACGUCCGGAAGUGGGCGUUUGGAUGAACGAAACGAGAAAAGUCGAGACUCCUCCCUAUCUCUUCGUCAUCGACCUAUCUACCCUUUCAUUCAGUCGUCUCCAUUCAUUUCCCCAUUCUCGGACUAUACAGGAAAUAAUUAGACUGGCAUCCGACUCUUAAAACGCUCCAUGCAAAGCGGGAGGGGCUUGACAACUAACAUCCAAUUACCCAAAAGUCGUAAUGCACCAGCGCCGGUCCGAACGUAUCGGUAUGCGCCUAGUCCGCCCUCCAUUUUGAUUCGUUUGGAAUGCGAAUUCCGUCCGUUCCAGUUAGCUCGUCAACCUGACUGUUAGGGGAUCCACCAAUAAUCAGGAGUCCAAGGUCACAACCCACCGUCUAGACCGAGCAUUCCUCUUCUCUGUAUCCCGGCUGGCAGCGGGUUCCGAUUAAUAGAAUUGCUCUGACGACAAGUAACCCGGUGGUGGUAAUCCCCACUUUCUCUUUCGGCCCAUUUUCAGGUGCUUGAGUGUUUGUACGUAACGACGGCGCCCGAGGGUGAGAAAGAUAGAAGAGGAAAAAAAAGCCGUCUUCAGACAGGAUCAGCUUGGCCUAAAACCGGGGCACUGACCCUGGAUAGGCCAACGCUUCCGAUUGGUCGGUUACGUUGCCUGGCAACAUGACUUAGCUCGCGCCGAUACGCUGCUCGUCGAUUCGCUUUGGGUCACGUGCUUUCAGCCGACUUCCACUUUCGCCGGCGCGGCGGCUAAAAACUUUUCCAAUCGGCAGAUCACGUGAUGCAUUCCGGUGGGUUGAUUGUCAAUUUCCGCGCGUCGCCUCUCCAACGACUUCCUUCCCAGCAGCUGUCAGAAUCGGACAUCCCGUUUGAUCCCACCCCGGCACAUAAUAACGGAGAAGGAAUUCAUGUUGUCCCGUUUUCCGCCGGGAAACACAGUUUUUCGCCUCGCUACUCUUUUGUGCAAAGCGCUUUUUAAAAAAAAUAUAUUUUUUAUUUUCUAGUUGGUGAAGUUUCCGACGUGUGGAGAUCGAACUCCCGGUUGUUGCACCUCGUCGUGCCUCAGGAGACGAUGGCGGAAACAAUAGCGUCCUCCUCGACCUCUUGCGUCAUUUGACACACUUAAGUUGUCAUGAUGUAACGUUCCGCGCGCUCGUCGUAGUUUUCUUAAAGCGGUGUUUGUUUAUCGUAACAUAAGAGGAAAAAAGAUGUCCGGUUUCUUAUCUUCCCUCUACCUGCCACAGGUUGCACGUGAGUCAGCAACACCUGCCAUGAAAAGCGCUCUCAUUCGAUAACGUCAUUGCCGAGCGUGGGAGGACGACCGGAAAUUUCCUUCCCAUUUCCGGCGAUUGCGGUUUGCAACUUGGCUGUAGCGGGGAAAGAGUCCGGCCACACCCAGAUCGGAUAACGGGCAGAUAAGCACUGACCAAGCUCUUAAACUGUGUCUCUGGGCUAUCAGGAAGUCCGUAAUUCGCGGAAACAGUGGGUGGGGUCGAACGCUCCUUUUUCUUUCUUCUUUUUUUUGGCUCUUCCACGGUAGGCUUGACCCGACCCCAAGUACCAAUCGAACGUCGGCACCGAACGCUAGACAAUGGUUAUCCGAACAUAAAAGAAUUCUAAGAAUAGCGGAGAACAUUCGGUUCGUGCGACGACAUCGGCAACGGCCAACAAUUCUUCGUCUACCUGUUUUGUUCCCGUGAACCCUUCCGGAUGACGUCACAGUAAAGUGUGCGAUUGUAAUGACGUCAAUGUUGAAUCUUUUGAGCCAGAAGUUUUUGUUCAUUGAGAUCCAGUCGUUGUAGUUGUCGUCUAUAACGACACAUUGGUUAGAUUUUUGGCAGUCUUUCGCUAUCGGACGUACCAAAACGAGUUUUCCGUACAGUGGGACGGACCGGGGAAAUAAAAUUUCACCCCGGAUGUUCUCCUUGACUACGUCCUUGUAGCUGCAGCAGUGCGUGAUGCGUGUCCGCAGACAUACACACAAAACACACCGCUACCGUCCUUACAGAAGAUUUGAAAGUUGGAAAUGAUGUAAUAAAUGGAGUAGUGUUAGUCAGUUUAUUGGUAUAUUUCACUACAACACGGCAGAGGUAAAAAUCGGAGGCCGUGCGUGGUAUUGUACCAAGUGGUGGCAGUCUCCCAGCGGUGACGUCACAGGCGGUCCUCGCGCGGGUCCUAGGCUAUAUAUAGUUGCUGCCUGACCUUUACUCGAGUACUUUUUCUGGGAAACGUCUCCAUCUCUCGAUCUUAUUUUCGUUGCUGAAAAUUAGUCGAAUCAUUGCUAUAAUCGCCUGUUUUUGUUUUUGGAAGAUUGAAAAAGUUUUCGCAUAUCAACGAUUGUUGCGAACAUAUGUUAAACAGUCAACUUGAUAAUUCAUAACGAUACGUCGCCAUUGAUUAAAAGACACAAAUACUUCUUUGUUUAUAAACAACAUUUACUCUGAUUAAAACAUAAAAUAUACAGUGGCACUGAAUACUAGGUUCUAUUCCAUUUCAGGACAGAACAGAAUUUAGUAAAGUGAAUUUUUAAUUGGGAAAUUAGUAAACACUAUGCUGAUAACUGUGAAGAAAACCUGUUUCUUUACUGUUAACAUGAGAUUUAAAUUUCUAGUGAUUACACUCCGAAUUUUAAAUAUCCUAAAAAGUUCAUUCCACAAGAAGUUCAGAACUGAUUAGAAUUACGUGAUUAAAGAGCUUUAGCCUAGUAGUUAUUAUUUAAUUUUUUAAUUUUAUAUAAGUCACAUAUAUUAUGAUAAGUUAUCUGUUAGUAUAAAAUUUAUAUAAUAGCACAUAAAUUAAUAAUUUUCGGUAAAGUUUUUUUAAGAUUGAAUACAAUUUUAUUUUUAAUAAACAAUUGUUAAUUUAUAAAACCAAAAAAGCUGAAAUAGAAAUUACCAAUAUAAUCUGCAGGAGUUAAUUUCCUGCCGGCUUCUGUAAUCAGGCUUUAGAAUAUAGAUCAAUACCAUUGCUACUUUUAAAAUAUGCCCAGUAGAAUUUAUAUGAUGAAAAUUUGAAUGGUAUUGAAAUUAAAUGAAUAUAUUAAAAUUAUUAAUUUCUGUAAGCAAAUUUUACAGUUAUAAAAUAUGUUUGUAUAAAUACCCAAAAUAUAAUGCCAGUUUUUGUUUAAAUAUUCUACAGUCUACAAAUGCUGUAUGCUGAAAUAUACCAAAUUAUGCCAAUAAAUCGUGAAAUAAUAUAAGCUGAACUUAUGCAUUUUUUUUAACUCUUCAGAU